GAAUUCCACUAGGGGCGCCCGCAAGGGCUGAGAUAAGGCGUAGCCUUGGUCCCUUUGAACCUGAUCUGGGUUAUGCCAGCGUAGGAAAGUGGUCUUGUGCGCGU
rnacentral:ncRNA from 2 species